GAUGAACGCUGGCGGCGUGCCUAAUACAUGCAAGUCGAGCGAACAGACGAGGAGCUUGCUCCUCUGACGUUAGCGGCGGACGGGUGAGUAACACGUGGAUAACCUACCUAUAAGACUGGUAUAACUUCGGGAAACCGGAGCUAAUACCGGAUAAUAUAUUGAACCGCAUGGUUCAAUAGUGAAAGACGGUUUUGCUGUCACUUAUAGAUGGAUCCGCGCCGCAUUAGCUAGUUGGUAAGGUAACGGCUUACCAAGGCAACGAUGCGUAGCCGACCUGAGAGGGUGAUCGGCCACACUGGAACUGAGACACGGUCCAGACUCCUACGGGAGGCAGCAGUAGGGAAUCUUCCGCAAUGGGCGAAAGCUUGACGGAGCAACGCCGCGUGAGUGAUGAAGGUCUUCGGAUCGUAAAACUCUGUUAUUAGGGAAGAACAAAUGUGUAAGUAACUAUGCACGUCUUGACGGUACCUAAUCAGAAAGCCACGGCUAACUACGUG
rnacentral:rRNA from 1 species